CCGCCUGGGGAGUACGGCGCAAGUUAAACUCAAAGGAAUUGACGGGGACCGCACAAGCGGUGGAUUAUGUGGAUCAAUUCGAUGCAAGCGAAAAACCUUACCUACCCUCGACAUGUACGGAACCUCGCAGAGAUGUGAGGGUGCCCAAAGGGAACCGUAACACGGGUGCUGCAUGGCUGUCGUCAGCUCGUGUCGUGAGAUGUUGGUUAAGUCCCGCAACGAGCGCAACCCUUGUCAUUAGUUGCUACAUUCAGUUGGGCACUCAAUGAGACUGCCGGUGACAAACCGGAGGAAGGUGGGGAUGACGUCAAGUCCUCAUGGCCUUAUGGGUAGGGCUUCACACGUAAUACAAUGGCCGGUACAGAGGGCUGCCAACCCGCGAGGGGAGCUAAUCCCAGAAAGCCGGUCGUAGUCCGGAUUGUUCUCUGCAACUCGAGAGCAGAAGUCGGAAUCGCUAGUAAUCGCGGAUCAGCAUGUCGCGGUGAAUACGUUCCCGGGUCUGUACACACCGCCCGUCACACCAUUGGAGUUGUUUUUACCAGAAGUAGUUAGCCUAACCCAAGGAGGGCGACUACCACGGUGAGAUUCAUGACUGGGGUG
rnacentral:rRNA from 1 species